AUAAAGUGCUGAGGAGAAAACUGGCCCUCUCUUGGCGUUCUGGUCGGGUCUCGCAGAGCAGCAGAGACCAUCAGAGCACUGACCUUCGGUUUUCAUCUAUUCAGACUUUUUCAGAUUCUACUUGGGAUAGAAUGAUUGAUCAUCUGUGAUGGAACGGUGUUUGGCGGUGCACCUGCGCCACCUGCCGGCUAAACAUAGUUACUGCAAGUAAAAAUCCACACCUCAGCCUGAGACUAGAAAAUCGCUGAAGCUUCUCUGGUGUUGAAGAGGCCAAGAAAAUGCCGGUGAAACACUGAUCUGAGCAAGUAGAAGUUCACAGAUCCCAGACUGACAGCUGGGCAACCAGCAGAAGAUCAAACCAGGCCUCCUGAAUGAGCUUAGUGUUGGGACGCAAAGACCAAAUAUCCAGAGUAAAAGACAAAAAACCCAACAACAACUACAAACCUGGUCUACUAGUGACUUCUUGGACACCAGAGAACACAAAGACACUCUGUCACCAAAAACCAAAAAGAAUAAAAUAAGAAAGAAAGAAAGAAACAAAGAAAAUGCUCAGAAGCUGUCGCUGCAGGCAAUCCUUCAGCUGAGGCUCCCCCUCCCCAGUGUGUGAAGCUGACAAUCAACCACUACAGGGGCUGGAGAGAUGGAUCAGCACUUAAGAACACUUUCUGCUAUUGCUGAGAACUGGAGUUCAAUUCUAAGAAACCACAUGGGGUUCCAAAUAACUGUUAUGAGCAUUCUUUCCCACCAGCCUGGUAUGGCAUCUGCAUUGCCUCAAAUGAACACGUACAUUAAUUAGAAUACUGUUAGCUGAUGACUAGGGCUUCUUUUUUUUAACAGUAUAUCAUUUUCAUUUUUAAUGUUUUGUUAUUUUUGAGAA